AUGCGCCAGCCAUCGGGAUUUGUGGAUCCUGCACGUCGUCAUCAUCUUUGUCGUCUUGUUAAGGCGCUAUAUGGACUUAAACAGGCUCCCCAUGUGUGGCAUGCACGCCUCGGCUCUGUUCUUUGGGCUCUUGGUUUUCUUCCCUCCACUGCUGACACGUCCUUGUUCCUUCUUCAGCGUCCUGAGGUCACGAUGUAUCUCCUGGUUUAUGUUGAUGAUAUCAUCCUCAUUAGUUUCUCUGCUGCUGCUGCGGAUCGUCUUGUGGCUGCUUUGAGUGGGGAUUUUGCUGUCAAGGACUUAGGUGCUCUGCAUUUUUUCCUUGGUCUGGAGGUCUCACGGUCUUCUGCUUGGUUGACUCUCACUCAGAAGAAGUAUUCUCUGGAUCUAUUGCGUCGUGCUGGCAUGCUGAAGUGUAAACAUGCGAUCACUCCAAUUUCUGCUACUGAUCGGUUGUCUGCCAUGGAUGGAGAUCUUCUUUCAUCUGAUGAUGCUACUGAGUAUCGCAGUCUUGUUGGUGGUCUGCAGUAUCUUACUAUCACCAGACCAGAUGUCUCUUAUGCAGUAAAUCGUGUCUGUCAGUAUCUUCAUGCGCCCAGGACGUCUCAUUGGUCAGCUGUGAAACGCAUUCUGCGUUAUAUCUGUUCCACUGCCUCAUAUGGUUUACUUCUCCAGCCUGCACCAUCUUAUGAGAUCUCGACCUUUUCAGAUGCAGAUUGGGCUGGGUGUCCUGAUGACAGGCGAUCCAUAGGGGGAUAUGCAAUGUUUCUUGGUCCUAAUUUGAUCGCCUGGAAUGCUCGUAAUCAAGCUAAGGUGUCUCGCAGCAGUACUGAAGCUGAGUACAAAGCAGUUGCUGAUGCGACUGCUGAGAUCAUAUGGGUUCAGUCCUUGUUGGGAGAAUUGAGAGUCCCUCCUACUCGUUCUCCAGUGCUUUGGUGUGACAACAUUGGUGCUACCUAUCUCUCAUCUAAUCCGGUGUUUCAUGCUCGGACAAAACACAUUGAGGUAGACUAUCACUUUGUUCGAGAACCUGUAUCACAGAAGCUCCUCAGUAUCAAGUUUAUCUCAUCAAAAGAUCAACUUGCUGACAUCUUCACGAAGCCUCUUCCACAACCACAGUUUGGCCGUAGGCGCAAUCUUAACUUACUUUGUACUUCAGGCCAUAGUUAA
rnacentral:rRNA from 1 species